CAAAUGACUUUCGGCAAUGGAUAUCUCGGCUCUUGCAUCGAUGAAGAACGUAGUGAAAUGCGAUACUUGGUGUGAAUUGCAGAAUCUCGUGAGCCAUUGAGUUUUUGAACGCAAGUUGUGCCCGAGGCCUUGUGGCUGAGGGCACGCCUGCUUGGGCGUCAUGG
rnacentral:rRNA from 1 species